rnacentral:lncRNA from 13 species
UACUGAUAAAGGCUCUUCCUUCUCUUUCUUCCUCCUCUGUCUUCCUUUCUAGGUCUUGAUUGAGAGAAACUUUACACUGUACUUCUUUCUACUCCUCUAGCAGUAAAGGUCACUAGAAUUGAUUCUUGAAUUCAUUAUAGUCACACACAGACCUGAGAAACUGAUGGAAUUACAUCUGUUAACCCAGAAGAGCACCCAAAGCACCAUGUAAAGAAAUCAGAGACCUCAAGCUAAAAAUCACAAAAGCACCCUCUUUCCUAGCUGCCAGCCUUCACCUGGAUCCAACCCUUUUAAUGGUCUAUUUCCAGCUGCUGCAUUCUGUAUUUACAUAUGGAGAGUUUUUAUUACAGAUUCCAUCAGAGUUCCUACACAGACAAUCAUACAACAUACAAACAAUGACAGUUUCGUUUUUUCCUUUCCAACCUAGAUACUUUUUAUUUCUUUUUCUUGACUUAUUGCCGUGGGUCAAGUAUAAUUGUAAAUAAAAUUGGUAAAAG